UACGAAGGGAGCUAGCGUUGUUCGGAAUCACUGGGCGUAAAGCGCACGUAGGCGGAUGUGUCAGUCAGGGGUGAAAUCCCGGAGCUCAACUUCGGAACUGCCUUUGAUACAGCACGUCUUGAGUCCGGAAGAGGUGGGUGGAAUUCCUAGUGUAGAGGUGAAAUUCGUAGAUAUUAGGAAGAACACGGUGGCGAAGGCGGCCCACUGGUCCGGUACUGACGCUGAGGUGCGAAAGCGUGGGGAGCAAACAGG
rnacentral:rRNA from 1 species